CCUACGGGUGGCAGCAGUGAGGAAUAUUGGUCAAUGGCCGGAAGGCUGAACCAGCCAUGCCGCGUGAAGGUCAGUGCCCUAUGGGCGUUAAACUUCUUUUGUGCGGGAGCAAUAAUGGUCACGUGUGGCCAGACGAUAGUACCGUACGAAUAAGCAUCGGCUAACUCCGUGCCAGCCGCCGCGGGUAUAUGGGGGAUGCAAGCGUUAUCCGGAUUUAUUGGGGUUAAAGGGUGCGUAGGCUGGGAGGUAAGUCAGCGGUGAAAUGCCCCCGCUCAACGGGGUGAAGUGCCAUUGAUACUGGCUGGCUGGAAUGCGGAUGCGGUGGGAGGAAUGUGUGGUGUAGCGGUGAAAUGCAUAGAUAUCACACAGAACACCGAUUGCGAAGGCAUCUCACGAAUCCGCGAUUGACGCUGAUGCACGAAAGCGUGGGUAUCAAACAGGAUUAGAUACCCGGGUAGUC
rnacentral:rRNA from 1 species